AUAUUAUCAAACCGAUUCAAGGUUAUUGUGGAAGAUAACAGAAGAUAGGAGUGUUCAAAAACAGAAGAUAAGAAUGUUAUUGAUUUAUUAUUAUUGGUUAUUGGGCUAACAAUUUUUAUUAGUUUUAUAGAAAAAAAAUUAUUGGGUUACUCGUUUGGUUUUGAUUUUUUUAUAUUGAGUUAUUGGGUAAAUCGAUAACCCAAUACGAAUAUAUUAAAUUAUUACUUUAUCUCUUUGUAGACAUCUAAAAUUUGUGGGACUCUACAAAAAGAAUCUAAAUACUGUUAGAGUUCUUAGAGUCUAAUUUACCCUAAACCCUGAAUUAUGCCUAUAUAAAGAGACAAAUAUUCCCUUAAAGAAGCAUCUUGAAUAUCUCAGAAAUUCGGGAUAUUCAUAGAUGAAAAUCCUCUUUCUUGAUAAUCAAAUACAUUAAGAAGAUCCAUAUUCCUAUAUUCGAGAAAUACGCUACGGCCCUCGAAUUAUGAAGAUCCAUAGUCCCAUGUUUGAGAAAUACGCUAAGACCCUCGAAUUAUGAAGAAAAUUAUGAGAGAUCAAUCAAGGAAGGAACAAAAUUGUACCCAUAUUCGUUAUUAAUAAAAUGUUCUUGUUUCUUCAUGUUUUAUUUGUGAUUGUAAUUUGUUAUUCAUCACUGUAAAAUUUGUUGGAAACAAAUUGGCACGCCUAGUGAGACUAAAUCUGCCCUUCAUCUCUUCUCUCAUAAAUCAUAAAUCAUAUGUGUAAAUCUGUGGCCGCAUUAAAGCUGCAGCCGCAUCAAGAUAGAAGCUCUAUGUGUACUUCAAGACUCGUCAUCAAGUACACUUUGACAAGCUUUGAAGCAGGGAGCAUUUGUAGACAUCUAAAAUUUGUGAGACUCUACAAAAAGAAUCCAAAUUCUAUUAGAGUUCUUAGAUUCUAAUUUACCCUAAACCCCGAAUUAUGCCUAUAUAAAGAGGCAAAUAUUCCCUUAAAGAAGCAUCUUGAAUAUCUCAGAAAUUCGGGAUAUUCAUGGAUCAAAAUCCUCUUUCUUGAUAAUCAAAUACAUCAAGAAGAUUCAUAUUCUUAUAUUCGAGAAAUACGCUACGGCCCUCGAAUUAUGAAGAUCCAUAUUCUCAUGUUCGAGAAAUACGCUACGACUCUCGAAUUAUGGAGAAAAUUAUGAGAGAUCAAUCAAGGGAGGAACAAAAUUUUACCCAUAUUCGUUAUUAAUAAAAUGUUCUCAUUUCUUCAUGUUUUAUUUGUGAUUGUAAUUUAUUAUUCAUCACUGUAAAAUUUGUUGCAAACACCCUUAUUUAUAUAUAUCACACACCUUCACUUAAUUUGUCUUUAAUUUCUACAAACUUAUUCAAAUUCUUAAAAAACUACUCAGUUCAUUUUGAAAUUUGGCACUGCAAGACAUACAUGAAAGAAUCUUUCAUUUUAUAAUAUGAAGAGGACGUUUUAAGGCAAUUUUGACAUUUUUAUCAUUUAAUCUACUUGCUGCAUAGGUUGUGAACAAGAUGAUGGACUUCUUAUUUUGUGGAUUUUGACACUGUACGACAUGUAUCAUGUUAGCUGCCAUUUUAAAAAAAAAAUUGUGAACAUCCUCACUGAUGUCGUGUUAGUUUCUAUCGUUACACAACACUAAAAAUCAUUGCGACAAAUUGAUAUUUAUUUCAUGAGCAUUUCUUUAUCGUUUAAAUUAAAAACUAAAUUGUUAAAGAUCAAAACCGAUAAAAAAUAGGAUAAAUUAUACAAAAAAACAACCUUAAGUAUUGUAUUCUAUAUUACUUAAAAUCCCAUCCUACUAAACUAAUUACAAAAAGUAUAAACUACAUAAAUUCCUUAGUAAGUGGAUAAAAAAUAGGAUAAAUUAUACAAAAAAAACACCUUAAGUAUUGUAUUCUAUAUUACUUAAAAUCCCAUCCUACUAAACUAAUUACAAAAAGUAUAAACUACAUAAAUUCCUUAGUAAGUGAAAGUAAUUACAUAAAAUUCCUUCAGCCUUUCUCUCGCCCGAUUUUGAGAAAGAUACUCAUACAUCUAGUCAAC
rnacentral:lncRNA from 1 species